rnacentral:rRNA from 1 species
CAGCCGCCGCGGUAAUACGGAGGGUGCGAGCGUUAAUCGGAAUAACUGGGCGUAAAGGGCACGCAGGCGGUGACUUAAGUGAGGUGUGAAAGCCCCGGGCUUAACCUGGGAAUUACGUUUCAUACUAGGUCGCUAGAGUACUUUAGGGAGGGGUAGAAUUCCACGUGUAGCGGUGAAAUGCGUAGAGAUGUGGAGGAAUACCGAAGGCGAAGGCAGCCCCUUGGGAAUGUACUGACGCUCAUGUGCGAAAGCGUGGGGAGCAAACAGGAUUAGAGACCCCCGUAGUCCCUGUCUCUUAUAU